AGGGGUGGGGCUCAGUGGCAGAGACUCAGGUUGACACCCAGAAGGUCCCAGGUUCAAUCCUCGGCAUCUCCA
rnacentral:tRNA from 1 species